GCCUCUAUAGCUCAGUGGUAGAGCGUUCGACGUAUGUAAAAAGCCCCUGAUUGGUCAUUCAAAAAGCUAACAACCCCAUCGUUGUAUGAAAUCAAUCGAAAGGUCCAUGGAUCAAACCCGUGUGGAGGCA